rnacentral:rRNA from 1 species
AGUGGGGAAUAUUGCACAAUGGGCGCAAGCCUGAUGCAGCCAUGCCGCGUGUAUGAAGAAGGCCUUCGGGUUGUAAAGUACUUUCAGCAGUGAGGAAGGCGGGUGUGUUAAUAGCACAUUCGUUUGACGUUAGCUGCAGAAGAAGCACCGGCUAACUCCGUGCCAGCAGCCGCGGUAAUACGGAGGGUGCGAGCGUUAAUCGGAAUUACUGGGCGUAAAGCGCAUGCAGGUGGUGUGUUAAGUCAGAUGUGAAAGCCCGGGGCUCAACCUCGGAAUAGCAUUUGAAACUGGCAGACUAGAGUACUGUAGAGGGGGGUAGAAUUUCAGGUGUAGCGGUGAAAUGCGUAGAGAUCUGAAGGAAUACCGGUGGCGAAGGCGGCCCCCUGGACAGAUACUGACACUCAGAUGCGAAAGCGUGGGGAGCAAA